UCCAGACUCCUACGGGAGGCAGCAGUGAGGAAUAUUGGUCAAUGGGCGGGAGCCUGAACCAGCCAAGCCGCGUGAGGGAAGAAGGUACAGCGUAUCGUAAACCUCUUUUGUCAGGGAGCAAAGGCGGGGACUAGUCCCCGGAUGAGGGUACCUGAAGAAAAAGCAUCGGCUAACUCCGUGCCAGCAGCCGCGGUAAUACGGAGGAUGCGAGCGUUAUCCGGAUUUAUUGGGUUUAAAGGGUGCGUAGGCGGAUUGAUAAGUUAGAGGUGAAAUGUCCGGGCUCAACUCGGGAACUGCCUCUAAUACUGUUGAUCUAGAGAGUAGAUGCGGUAGGCGGAAUGUAUGGUGUAGCGGUGAAAUGCUUAGAGAUCAUACAGAACACCGAUUGCGAAGGCAGCUUACCAAUCUAUAUCUGACGUUGAGGCACGAAAGCGUGGGGAGCAAACAGGAUUAGAUACCCCCGUA
rnacentral:rRNA from 1 species